AAUGUAACCUCCAAAAGAAGAACUACGAUCGAGUCAACAGAGAAAAAAGAGAAAAAAAAAAGAAGGAAAUAGUCACAGUAAUAGCUAGACGACUCACUAGAAUAGAACUGCCGAAAAACCCUCUAGCGGCGAAUGCUGGAGAUACCGCCAUGAACUCCUUUGAGUUUUGUUGGUGAAGCAGAGACCCCCGAAAUCCUGUCACGAUGCGCUCCAUGUAAUGCAACCAUCACGACGUGAAUGAUAAUAAUACCACACGACACCAAAGUCACGGAAUGCGCAAAGCAAGGAGACCGAAGCGAGAGAUCGCACGGUAUGGGGAGAAAACACGUAGGCAGCAAGUUGCAAAAUUCGUACUUGCGCAAGUACCGUUUACCGUGGACGUACGAUGGGAUGACGUCGACUGGGAUCGAACGAUGUAAACGAACCUUUUAAGAAUCGAGAGCGAUAGACAAUGGCAACCGGAAGUGGUGCGAGGCGAAUGGCCGAUAGCAAUGCAAUUGUAUAAAAAAAAUUUUAAUCCUAA